UUUGAUCAUGGCUCAGAUUGAACGCUGGCGGCAUGCCUUACACAUGCAAGUCGAACGGUAACAGGUCUUCGGACGCUGACGAGUGGCGAACGGGUGAGUAAUACAUCGGAACGUGCCCAGUCGUGGGGGAUAACUACUCGAAAGAGUAGCUAAUACCGCAUACGAUCUGAGGAUGAAAGCGGGGGACCUUCGGGCCUCGCGCGAUUGGAGCGGCCGAUGGCAGAUUAGGUAGUUGGUGGGAUAAAAGCUUACCAAGCCGACGAUCUGUAGCUGGUCUGAGAGGACGACCAGCCACACUGGGACUGAGACACGGCCCAGACUCCUACGGGAGGCAGCAGUGGGGAAUUUUGGACAAUGGGCGAAAGCCUGAUCCAGCAAUGCCGCGUGCAGGAUGAAGGCCUUCGGGUUGUAAACUGCUUUUGUACGGAACGAAAAAGCUCCUUCUAAUACAGGGGGCCCAUGACGGUACCGUAAGAAUAAGCACCGGCUAACUACGUGCCAGCAGCCGCGGUAAUACGUAGGGUGCGAGCGUUAAUCGGAAUUACUGGGCGUAAAGCGUGCGCAGGCGGUUAUGUAAGACAGAUGUGAAAUCCCCGGGCUCAACCUGGGAACUGCAUUUGUGACUGCAUGGCUAGAGUACGGUAGAGGGGGAUGGAAUUCCGCGUGUAGCAGUGAAAUGCGUAGAUAUGCGGAGGAACACCGAUGGCGAAGGCAAUCCCCGGACCUGUACUGACGCUCCAUGCACGAAAGC
rnacentral:rRNA from 1 species